rnacentral:rRNA from 1 species
GACGAACCGUCCAAACGUUAUUCGGAAUCACUGGGCUUAAAGGGUGCGUAGGCGGAGAGGCAAGUCAGAGGUGAAAGCCCACGGCUCAACCGUGGAAGUGCCCCUGAAACGGCCUCUCUCGAGGGAGAUAGGGGCGUGCGGAACUCAGAGUGGAGCGGUGAAAUGCGUAGAUAUUCUGAGGAACACCGGUGGCGAAAGCGGCACGCUGGGUCUUUUCUGACGCUCGGGCACGACAGCUAGGGGCGCAACCGCG